rnacentral:misc_RNA from 1 species
UUAACUUGUUUUUAUAAACAGUUCAGACUGAUGACACGAAAUGCAAGAGUUUGAUGUAUACCCUCCAUACCGACACUCUGAACCGUACCCAAGAGGUACGGCAAGAGGGGACCGCAGUCCACGCAGUACGGAAGCAACAGGUAGAAUACACUGAUGGGUUUCAAAUGCAUAUUCCUAAGAACACAUUUACUUUUAAUGAUCCUUCCGCAGGUUCACCUACGGAAA